UACCGACGGCUCGAGUGGUGGCCACUUUUAUUGGGUCUAAAGCGUCCGUAGCCGGCCGACUAAGUCUCUUGGGAAAUCUGGCAUCUCAAGUGUCAGGCUGCCAGGGGAUACUGGUCGGCUUGGGACCGGGAGAGGUGAGAGGUACCUCAGGGGUAGGGGUGAAAUCUUGUGAUCCCUGAGGGACCACCAGUGGCGAAGGCGUCUCACUAGAACGGGUCCGACGGUCAGGGACGAAAGCUGGGGGCACGAACCGG
rnacentral:rRNA from 1 species